rnacentral:rRNA from 1 species
AGAGUUUGAUCCUGGCUCAGGAUGAAUGCUGGCGGCGUGCCUAAUACAUGCAAGUCGAGCGGUAACGGGGCUUCACCGUUCUCUUGUCGCACUUGGCCUUUGAGCAAGUGGUCUGGAUACGAGGGAACAGUGAAGCUGCCGACGAGCGGCGGACGGCUGAGUAACGCGUGGGAACAUACCCCAAACUGAGGGAUAACUAGUCGAAAGAUUAGCUAAUACCGCAUAUGAUCUUCGGAUUAAAGCUUUCGGGCGGUUUGGGAAUGGCCUGCGUACGAUUAGAUAGUUGGUGAGGUAAAGGCUCACCAAGUCGACGAUCGUUAGAUGGUUUGAGAGGAUGAUCAUCCAGACUGGGACUGAGACACGGCCCAGACUCCUACGGGAGGCAGCAGUAGGGAAUCUUUCACAAUGGGCGAAAGCCUGAUGGAGCAACGCCGCGUGCAGGAUGAAGGCCUUCGGGUUGUAAACUGCUUUUAUAAGCGAGAAAUAUGAUGGUAACUUAUGAAUAAGGAUCGGCUAACUACGUGCCAGCAGCCGCGGU